AACGGACUUAACCAUUAGUUUACUAUUGGAGCGGUUAGUGGCGGACUGGUGAGUAACACGUAAGCAACCUGCCUAUCAGAGGGGAACAACAGUUAGAAAUGACUGCUAAUACCGCAUAUGCCUAAGUACCACAUGGUACAAUAGGGAAAGGAGUAAUCCGCUGAUAGAUGGGCUUGCGUCUGAUUAGAUAGUUGGUGGGGUAAUGGCCUACCAAGUCGACGAUCAGUAGCCGGACUGAGAGGUUGAACGGCCACAUUGGGACUGAGAUACGGCCCAGACUCCUACGGGAGGCAGCAGUCGGGAAUAUUGCGCAAUGGAGGAAACUCUGACGCAGUGACGCCGCGUGCAGGAAGAAGGUUUUCGGAUUGUAAACUGCUUU
rnacentral:rRNA from 1 species